rnacentral:rRNA from 1 species
GCUUGUCUCAAAGAUUAAGCCAUGCAUGUCUAAGUAUAAACGACUUUAUACUGUGAAACUGCGAAUGGCUCAUUAUAUCAGUUAUAGUUUAUUUGAUGGUCGUUCCUUACAUGGAUAACUGUGGUAAUUCUAGAGCUAAUACAUGCACCCAUGCCCGACUUUGUGGAAGGGUUGUGUUUAUUAGUUACAGAACCAACCCAGGCUCUGCCUGGUCUUGUGGUGAUUCAUAAUAACCGAACGAAUCGUAUGGCAUCAGCUGGCGAUGAAUCAUUCAAGUUUCUGACCUAUCAGCUUCCGACGGUAGGGUAUUGGCCUACCGUGGCAAUGACGGGUAACGGAGAAUUAGGGUUCGAUUCCGGAGAGGGAGCCUGAGAAACGGCUACCACAUCUAAGGAAGGCAGCAGG